rnacentral:rRNA from 1 species
GAGCGCUCGUAGCAAUACGAGAGCGGCAGACGGGAGAGUAACACGUGGGAACGUACCCUUCGGUUCGGAAUAACCCAGGGAAACUUGGGCUAAUACCGGAUACGUCCGUAAGGAGAAAGAUUUAUCGCCGAGGGAUCGGCCCGCGUCCGAUUAGCUAGUUGGUGAGGUAAUGGCUCACCAAGGCGACGAUCGGUAGCUGGUCUGAGAGGAUGAUCAGCCUCACUGGGAUUGAGAACGGCCCAGACUCCUACGGGGGGCAGCAGUGAGGAAUUUUCCGCAAUGGGCGAGGAGCCUGACGGAGCAACGCCGCGUGCAGGAGGACGCUUUUCGGAGUGUAAACUGCUUUUCUGUGGGACGAGGAUGGACGGUACACAGGAAGAAGCCCGGCUACUACGUG